rnacentral:lncRNA from 1 species
CAAUACUGGAAAUGGCAAUUCUGAGUGAACAAACACAUACUUCAUACCUACACGACGGUUAGCGCGCAUCAGUCCGUAGCGUAGAAUCAAUCAUCAUUUUGACGGGGGCGUAAAACAACCACACAUAUGGAAAAAAGGCGCUUUUACCAUAUGAUACCGAAUCAGCUACCAUCUCGAAAAUCAGGGCUACAAAGAAACCGGUUACCAUUUUCAACGCGAGACUUGAUCAUCCUUACAGCUCAUACCUGGAUAUCACUGUUGGCUUGAGGCACAGCCAGAAUGCGGUAGCCGUAUUAACCGAGGAGUUCCUUCAGAAAGAAACAGAAAGGAUGCCAUCUGAGUCUACGUAUCAGUGCGAAUCGGGCGACCGGUUGGUGCCGAGCGAUGCGGACAAUGAACCUCCUCUUGAUAAAGAAGAUGCAUAAACUGCAAGCAUCAUGUUCGCCCUUUUGUCACAAAAAAGGUUGGAAUUUUAGGUCUACUAAUUCAGCAUUUUUCCAGCUUUUAAUCAUUAUUUCAUUAACAUCGAACGCAGAAUGAAUUAUUGCUGCACGAUACAUAACGCAACAUUACAGACAUUUACCAGCUUAUAUUGCGCUACAUAUAUAUCCAUGCCACAUUGCAUAUAUUUUUAUAUGUAAAAGAGAAUCGGGCCAAAGUUUAACUAACUCUAUCGUUGAAAACAAUGAGUGUCUCGUGAAAAAACUAUUCGUCAAAGAUUUCUAUUCCGCGGCCUAGAUAGAAUUACUAUAAUUCCUAAAUCUUCAAAAAAAUGUCAAUUGAUCAUAUAUAUAUAUAUUGUUUUUCGUACAAAAAAACGAAUCAUUUAAUAAAGCUAGAGGGAUGCUUCUUUUUUCUCAUAGAAGGGCCGAUCGAAUCAUUUACUACCGAAUCAAAUGGGUCAGAGCUUAUCAUUUGUCCACGAUCUUUCUACAUGAAGUCUUGCUGCGUAAAGUGAACGCAUUUGAAUUAAUUAUGUACUGGUACAUGCUUAAAUUAUAUUUCUCGAGAAGCGUGAAGUAAUGGUAACAAUGUGUGCACUGAUCGCACUAAGGUCUGUGUCACCAUUGCCAGAGUCUAAUACAGUCCAAUGUAGAUUCUGAUCGAUAAUCAUGACCAACUGCAGUGAUAACAUUGCUUUGUUAACAAAAUCUUUGUAAUCUAGAAAACAUUUUUUAGGAUGACCAAAUGUGGUUAUGGGGAACUAAGAUAGUAGCUUAACAAAUGCCUUAGUUUUAUUUGAAGUACAUACAUAGAUACGGAUUAGUUGUGUCGUUUUGUGCAUUUAUUUUUUUCAUUUUUUCUAUAGGAUUAGCAUCGAUAGCGUUUUGUUUUGUAUAUAUUCGAAAUGCAAUUGCUUAUAUAGCUCAACCUCGCGAUGGCCCCAUGCAUAGUCAUGUACUACGACAAAAAAUAAUGAUUUAUAAGACGUAACUUGCUUCCAUUUGAAAAUAUAACUUUACAACAGAUGAGUUUUUUUUUAUCGGUCAUGAAAUACGAGGGAAAAUACUGAAUUGCGCUAAAGUUCUGAUCUGUGUGCACUUCAAAAAUUGUGAAAGCUCGAUAGCAAUAAGAUCUUUAGUUAAUGCUUCCAAACUAGAUAAUACGCAAUGGCCAAUAUAGCCCCUGGCCCAUAUAAUCCCAUGCGUAUAUUCGCAGCCACAUGUGUACGCAAGGUGCGUCAAAAAAAAACAUAUAUAUAAUAACAUACACCAAAAUUAUAUGAAUGAACACUUCCACGUAAAAAAAAAUGUACAAACUAAAAUGGGGUGAUACAUUUAAUAUGCAUUUGAUUGAACGAUAAACUGGUAGAAUACAAGCUGUUCGAAUAUAUAUGUUGAAUAUAUAUAUGGUAUAUGUAUAUAUACUAUAUAUAUUGAAUAAAAUUUGA